UCCUCGAUCUUGGAUGAGAAGGGACCCAUGUCAGAUCUCAUCGACUAGGAUGGUGCCACGGGAGAGAGGGGCAGUGAUGCUAGAUGAGGCAAAAAAGGAGUUCGCCUAGUAAGAGAAGAUGGAGCUCGGACCGACUUUAGAGUAGUCAAUGGAGUCGAUCAUUGUGGCAUGACAAUGAUGGGCUUGUCAUCGAUCUCCAAU
rnacentral:lncRNA from 1 species